rnacentral:misc_RNA from 1 species
GAAAUGCGAUAAGUAGUGUGAAUUGCAGAAUUCAGUGAAUCAUCGAAUCUUUGAACGCACAUUGCGCCCCUUGGUAUUCCAUGGGGCAUGCCUGUUCGAGCGUCAUCUACACCCUCAAGCUCUGCUUGGUGUUGGGCGUCUUUGUCCCGCCUCCGCGCGCGGACUCGCCCCAAAUUCAUUGGCAGCGGUCCUUGCCUCCUCUCGCGCAGCACAUUGCGCUUCUCGAGGUGUUGCGGCCCGCGUCCAGAAAGCAAUCGUUACCGUCUUUGACCUCGGAUCAGGUAGGGAUACCCGCUGAACUUAAGCA